ensembl:snoRNA SNORA70 Small nucleolar RNA SNORA70
CUGCAGCUUAUUAAGCCGACCGGUCUCGCUGUGGUGCGGUUCUGGUGUGCAAAGGCUGCAGACACUGACUCUUUGGUUGUGUAUGUCCUCAGCUGGGAGGUGCUGAGUGCUUUAAGGGACCACUGAGACAAAA